GGUGAUAUAGCUCAGUUGGUUAGAGCGCGGCACUCAUAAUGCUGAGGUCGGUGGUUCAAAUCCACUUAUCACCACCA
rnacentral:tRNA from 1 species